AUUGACCGCUGGCGGCAGGCCUAACACAUGCAAGUCGAGCGAGCGGCGGACGGGUGAGUAAUGUAUGGGGACUGCCCGAUAGAGGGGGAUAACUACUGGAAACGGUAGCUAAUACCGCAUACUAUCGGAUAACCCCUAUGGGAUUAGCUAGUAGGUGAGGUAAUGGCUCACCGAGGCGAAGAUCCCUAGCUGGUCUGAGAGGAUGAUCAGCCAAACUGGGGCGUGGAAACGGCCCAGACUCCUCGGGAGGGCGGAGGGGGGAAUAUUGGAAAAUGGGGCCAAGCCUGAUGCAACCAUGGCGGGGUGAUUAAGAAGGCCUUUGGGGUGGAAAGUACCUUGGGCAGAGAAGCGGUAUCUGCAGAAUAAGCACCGGCUAACUCCGUGCCAGCAGCCGCGGUAAUUC
rnacentral:rRNA from 1 species